AAAGAAAGAAAGAAAAGACAGGCAAUGUAAGGCACCGUGAUGGCUGAGAGGUGAAAAUGCUAUUUCUUCAGAUGAGUAUGGGCUACUGGUGAGAGGCAGUGUGGACUCAGCAACCAUGGGGAGUUAGGUUGCUCCUUCCUUACUCUCAAGCCAAAAUGGAGUUUGGCUUUGGGGAGCAAGCAGGACACACAGGAGGGGUGAGCCAGCCCAACUUGGGGGUGUGUUGGUGCCUUCAUUCUCCUUUUACAUUCCCAAGGAAGAGCUGGGCUGACAGGAGAGGCAGCACUCCAUCCAGCAGGCCCUGUCUGCUCAGCAUCCCAGAACCCCGGGAGCAGGGGUGACCUGGACAUGCCUGAAAGCCCCACAGAGCUUGAGGCCGCAAACUCCUGGAUCUCAAAGACCAAGAUGAGUGGACACAGACCACCCCAGGGAUCCCUAAACAAGAUCUUGGAACAUGUUCAGCCCGGGCAAGACCAAGAAAAGCAGGCCCGGGCAGCCAUUGAAACAUCUCACCAGGACAGGGACAGAUUUGCAUUUUGAAAAGAUCCUGGCUAGCCGUGGAUGGACUGGGUGUGGAGGCUGCUGCAGUGAUGCAGGUGUAUACACAAGAGGACUGAAAGCAUACACAGAAACAUGUACAUGGAUGUUCACAGCAGCAUUAUUCAUAACCAAAACGUGGAAACAACCCAAAUG